AGCAGCCGCGGUAAUUCCAGCUCCAAUAGCGUAUAUUAAAGUUGUUGCAGUUAAAAAGCUCGUAGUUGAAUUUCGGGAUUGACACAUCGGUCGUGCCUUAAGGGGUGUGAACUGGUGUAGUCAAUUUCUCACCUUCUGGAGAACCGCGAUGCCCUUAAUUGGGUGUCACGGGGAACCAGGACCUUUACUUUGAAAAAAUUAGAGUGUUUAAAGCAGGCAUUUUGCUUGAAUACAUUAGCAUGGAAUAAUAAAAUAGGACGGCAUGAUUCUAUUUUGUUGGUUUCUAGGAUCACCGUAAUGAUUAAUAGGGAUAGUUGGGGGCAUUAGUAUUCAAUUGUCAGAGGUGAAAUUCUUGGAUUUAUUGAAGACUAACUACUGCGAAAGCAUUUGCCAAGGAUGUUUUCAUUAAUCAAGAACGAAAGUUAGGGGAUCGAAGACGAUCAGAUACCGUCGUAGUCUUAACCAUAAACUAUGCCGACUAGGAAUCAGACGAUGUUAAUUUUUUAAUGACUCGUUUGGCACCUUACG
rnacentral:rRNA from 1 species